GCCGGGCAUGGUGGCUCAUGCCUGUAAUCCUAGCACUUUGGGAGGCCGAGGUGGGCGGGUCACUUGAGGUCAGGAGUUUGAAACCAGCCUGACCAACAUGGUGAAACCCCGCCUCUA
rnacentral:SRP_RNA from 1 species